rnacentral:rRNA from 1 species
GUAGGGAAUCUUGCGCAAUGGGCGAAAGCCUGACGCAGCCAUGCCGCGUGAAUGAUGAAGGUCUUAGGAUUGUAAAAUUCUUUCACCGGGGACGAUAAUGACGGUACCCGGAGAAGAAGCUCCGGCUAACUUCGUGCCAGCAGCCGCGGUAAUACGAAGGGGGCUAGCGUUGCUCGGAAUUACUGGGCGUAAAGGGCGCGUAGGCGGACAGCUUAGUCAGAGGUGAAAGCCCAGGGCUCAACCUUGGAAUUGCCUUUGAUACUGGCUGUCUUGAGUUUGGGAGAGGUGAGUGGAACGCCGAGUGUAGAGGUGAAAUUCGUAGAUAUGCGGAAGAACACCAGUGGCGAAGGCGACUCACUGGCCCAAUACUGACGCUGAGGCGCGAAAGCGUGGGGAGCAAACAGGAUUAGAUACCCGAGUAGUCC